rnacentral:rRNA from 1 species
UACUCCUACGGGAGGCAGCAGUAGGGAAUCUUCGGCAAUGGGGGCAACCCUGACCGAGCAACGCCGCGUGAGUGAAGAAGGUUUUCGGAUCGUAAAGCUCUGUUGUAAGAGAAGAACGUGUGUGAGAGUGGAAAGUUCACACAGUGACGGUAUCUUACCAGAAAGGGACGGCUAACUACGUGCCAGCAGCCGCGGUAAU